CUUAUCUCCAUUUCGAAGCUUACAUCUAAUUUUCAAAGAAUACACCGAAUUAUUACAGAUUGGCUAAGGCUGAGGUAUCUGGCGCGGUAACGCUGUUACAGAGGGCAGCGGAACCGGAAAUAAGAACCCAGACUUGGAAGACGGUGCCGGCGCUCCUCCAUCCGUCGAAUGGGAAAAACAAAUUACUUACGGCGAAUAAAUAUUGGCCCGUUCGCCAUGAAGAGACAGGACCGUAUCAUCGAUGACACUCGAGCAUCGAGGCCGAUCAGGCGCCUGCACCCCAAAGUCGAAGCCUAAGGGCGCGUGCAACGCCGGUGUCAGUUGCAUAAUUACGGUUUGGAUGGAUGGACCACUUCCAGACUUUUACCACGGCAUACUACAAGGGUGGCGAGAAUUGAGUGACGCCAGGCGGGUGGGUAGCUGCAGGAGGUGGAGGGACAACGACACGCGAGCAAAUGCGACAGCCAGUCGUGUGGAAUAGACCUUUAUCUCGAAAUCUCCCACCGCCGUCUCACUUCCACGCACACGGCAACUCGAAAUUGUAAUCACCGUGACUGGAAAUUAAAUACGAGAGGCUCCCCCUCCCUCCACCCCCCUCACGUUGUCCUCUGUUUCUCUCUUGUCUCUUCUAUAGUUCCCAGAGGAGUCAGGCCUCGUUAGAUUCAUUCCACACGAAUCAUUUUCAUUUCGGUAUUCGACGAAUUUUCCAACCGUGUAUACAUGUAACACGUAACUGCGUAGCUCGGAGAGAAGCAAUUUUGAUUUUCACGUUUCACGUUCAACAUCCGGCUCUGUGUACGAUGUGAGUGAGAUUUUUAUAACGUAUAAAAACAAUUUAAAAAAAAAAAAAA